rnacentral:rRNA from 1 species
GACGAACGCUGGCGGCGUGCUUAAUACAUGCAAGUCGAACGGAGCCUAGCCGGUAGUUUACUACAGGCGAAAGCUUAGUGGCGGACGGGUGAGUAACGCGUGGGCAAUCUGCCCCUAAGUCCGGGAUAACAGAGCGAAAGUUCUGCUAAGACCGGAUACUCUUCCCGGGUCGCAUGGCCUGGGAAGGAAAGGAUACGCUUAGGGAUGAGCCCGCGUCCCAUUAGCUAGUUGGUGAGGUAACGGCCCACCAAGGCGACGAUGGGUAGCCGGCCUGAGAGGGUGGACGGCCACACUGGGACUGAGACACGGCCCAGACUCCUACGGGAGGCAGCAGUAGGGAAUUUUCCGCAAUGGGGGAAACCCUGACGGAGCAACGCCGCGUGAGGGAAGAAGGUCUUCGGAUCGUAAACCUUUGUCAUCGAGGACGAAAACUGACGGUACUCGAGGAGGAAGCCCCGGCUAACUACGUG